UACAGAGGGUGCAAGCGUUAAUCGGAAUUACUGGGCGUAAAGCGCGUGUAGGCUGCCCCGCAAGUCAGGUGUGAAAGCCUGGGCUCAACCUAGGAAGUGCACUUGAAACUGCGGGGAUCGAGGGCUGGAGAGGGAAGCGGAAUUCUCGGUGUAGAGGUGAAAUUCGUAGAUAUCGAGAGGAACACCGGUGGCGAAGGCGGCUUCCUGGGACAGUUACUGACGCUGAGACGCGAAAGCGUGGGGAGCGAACAGG
rnacentral:rRNA from 1 species